ACGGCGAGUGAAGCGGCAAGAGCUCAAAUUUGAAAUCUAGCACCUUCGGUGUUCGAGUUGUAAUUUGAAGAAGGUAUCUUUGGAGUUGGCCCUUGUCUAUGUUCCUUGGAACAGGACGUCACAGAGGGUGAGAAUCCCGUGCGAUGAGGAGUCCAAUUCUAUGUAAAGUUCCUUCGAAGAGUCGAGUUGUUUGGGAAUGCAGCUCUAAGUGGGUGGUAAAUUCCAUCUAAAGCUAAAUAUUGGCGAGAGACCGAUAGCGAACAAGUACAGUGAUGGAAAGAUGAAAAGAACUUUGAAAAGAGAGUGAAAAAGUACGUGAAAUUGUUGAAAGGGAAGGGCUUUUGAUCAGACUUGGUGUUUAGUACUCUCUGCUCCUUGUGGGUGGGGCUCUUGCUUUAUACUGGGCCAGCAUCGGUUUUGGUGGCAGGAUAAUGGCAUUGGAACGUGGCUUCAUUCGUGAAGUGUUAUAGCCUUUGUUGAUACUGCCU
rnacentral:rRNA from 1 species